CCUUAAUUGUUUGAUUCUGUUUCAUUCUCUUCUGCCUUUGUAACACCAACUUCAGCUGGCCGGAUAACACGAUCAUAGAGAGAGUAUCCUGCCUUUAGAACUGCUGCAACAGUGCUUGGAGGCUUAGAAGCGUCUGGUACCUGGAAAACUGCAUUAUGCCUAUGUGGAUCAAAUGGCUCAUUUAUUGGAUCAAAUUUUUCUACUCCAAAUUUCCUAAACACCUCUGCAAGCUGCUUCUCAGUCAUUUCAACUCCUUCCAAAAGGGUCUUAAGAAGUGGAACUGCCCCAGCAGUGUCAGUAGAUGGAUCAAUUUUUGAGUAACUGUCUUUGACGACGGAUGAAGCUCUUCCCAAAUUGUCAGCAACAUCUAGUAGACCCUUUGCAAAAUUCUGUAUGGCAAACUUUUUAGAGUUCUCUGCUUCACGUUUUGUCCUUUCCAUGACAUUCUCCAUUUCUGCAUAAGUGCGAAGAACUUUAUCUUGCAUUUUUUCAAUCUCUUUGUGCUUCAACUUCAGAAGUUCUUCCUUUUCCGCCACAAGCUUCACCAAAUCAUCCAUUGACAGAUCGUCUUCAGCAUCUGAAUCUGAAUCAGAAAAUGCAGUUCGUUUAGCACCUCUUCUCCUU
rnacentral:misc_RNA from 1 species